rnacentral:rRNA from 1 species
UACGUAGGGGGCAAGCGUUGUCCGGAAUCAUUGGGCGUAAAGAGCGCGUAGGCGGCCCUGUAAGUCCGCUGUGAAAGUCAAGGGCUCAACCCUUGGAUGCCGGUGGAUACUGCAGGGCUAGAGUCCGGAAGAGGCGAGUGGAAUUCCUGGUGUAGCGGUGAAAUGCGCAGAUAUCAGGAAGAACACCUAUGGCGAAGGCAGCACUCUGGGACGGUACUGACGCUGAGACGCGAAGGCGUGGGGAGGCGAACAGG